GAUGAACGCUGGCGGCGUGCUUAAUACAUGCAAGUCGAGCGAAGUGCUUUAACGGAAUUCUUCGGAAGGAAGAUAAAGUGACUGAGCGGCGGACGGGUGAGUAACGCGUGGGUAACCUGCCUUAUACAGGGGGAUAACAGUUAGAAAUGGCUGCUAAUACCGCAUAAGCGCACAGGACCGCAUGGUCUGGUGUGAAAAACUCCGGUGGUAUAAGAUGGACCCGCGUCUGAUUAGCUAGUUGGUGGGGUAACGGCCCACCAAGGCGACGAUUGGUAGCCGGACUGAGAGGUUGAACGGCCACAUUGGGACUGAGACACGGCCCAG
rnacentral:rRNA from 1 species